CUACGGGAGGCAGCAGUAGGGAAUUUUCGGCAAUGGAGGAAACUCUGACCGAGCAACGCCGCGUGAAUGAAGACAUAUUUCGGUAUGUAAAGUUCUUUUAUUAGGGAAGAAUAGCCCAUGGAAAAAUGGGUCUGACGGUACCUAAUGAAUAAGCCCCGGCUAACUAUGUGCCAGCAGCCGCGGUAAUACAUAGGGGGCAAGCGUUAUCCGGAAUUAUUGGGCGUAAAGGGUGCGUAGGCGGCCAUUUAAGUCUUUGGUAUAAGUGCAGUGCUUAACGCUGUGAUGCUAAGGAAACUGAGUGGCUUGAGUGAGAUAGAGGCAAGUGGAAUUCCAUGUGUAGCGGUAAAAUGCGUAAAUAUAUGGAGGAACACCAGUGGCGAAGGCGGCUUGCUGGGUCUACACUGACGCUGAGGCACGAAAGCGUGGGGAGCAAACAGGAUUAGAUACCCUGGUAGUCCACGCUGUAAACGAUGAGUACUAAGUGUUGGAGAAAUUCAGUGCUGUAGUUAACGCAAUAAGUACUCCGCCUGAGUAGUACGUACGCAAGUAUGAAACUCAAAGGAAUUGACGGA
rnacentral:rRNA from 1 species